GUGCUUCCUUUGGCUGACAUACACCAAAAAUGCAAUGAUACAGAGAUUAGCAUGGUUCCUGCACGAAGAUAAUGCGCAAAUUUGUGAAAUGCUCCAUUUUUCU
rnacentral:snRNA from 1 species